GACGAACGCUGGCGGCGUGCUUAACACAUGCAAGUCGAACGAUGAAGAAGAGAAACGCGAACUUCGGUUCAAAUUUCACUUCGGAUUAGUGGCAGACGGGUGAGUAACGCGUGAGCAACCUACCUCUUACAAAGGGAUAGCCCCGGGAAACCGUGAUUAAUACCAUAUGACACAUUCAUAAGGCAUCUUAAGAAUGUUAAAGCUACGGCGGUAAGAGAUGGGCUCGCGUCCCAUUAGCUAGUUGGUGAGGUAACGGCCCACCAAGGCGACGAUGGGUAACCGGCCUGAGAGGGUGAACGGUCACAUUGGAACUGAGACACGGUCUAAACUCCUACGGGAGGCAGCAGUGGGGAAUAUUGCACAAUGGAGGGAACUCUGAUGCAGCGACGCCGCGUGGGCGAUGAAGGAAUUCGUUUCGUAAAGCUCUGUUCUAUGGGAAGAAAAGGACUGUACCAUAGGAGAAAGCCCCGGCUAAAUACGUG
rnacentral:rRNA from 1 species